UACGUAGGGCGCAAGCGUUGUCCGGAAUUACUGGGCGUAAAGAGCGCGCAGGCGGUCGAUCAAGUCGAGUGUGAAAGCCCCCGGCUCAACUGGGGAGGGUCAUUCGAAACUGGUCGACUCGAAGGCAGGAGAGGGUAGUGGAAUUCCCGGUGUAGUGGUGAAAUGCGUAGAGAUCCGGAGGAACACCAGUGGCGAAGGCGACACGCUGGGCCGUACCUGACGCUAAAGCGCGACAGCAUGGGGAGCAAACGGG
rnacentral:rRNA from 1 species